rnacentral:tRNA from 1 species
GGCCCCGUGGCGGAACUGGUAUACGCAUGGAACUUAAAAUUCCACGCCCGCGAGGGCUUGUGGGUUCGAAUCCCACCGGGGCCACCA